rnacentral:ncRNA from 2 species
GCAACUCUGGAAAGCAGGCGCACCCGGUGCGCCUCGCCCACGGUGCAAGCCGCCCUCACCCGGCGGCGAAGCUCUCAGGCUCAUGGCAGAGGGGGAGGC